rnacentral:rRNA from 1 species
UACGAAGGGGGCUAGCGUUGUUCGGAUUUACUGGGCGUAAAGCGCACGUAGGCGGAUGGUUAAGUCAGGGGUGAAAUCCCGCAGCUCAACUGCGGAACUGCCUUUGAUACUGGCCAUCUCGAGUCCGGAAGAGGUGAGUGGAACUCCUAGUGUAGAGGUGGAAUUCGUAGAUAUUAGGAAGAACACCAGUGGCGAAGGCGGCUCACUGGUUCAUUACUGACGCUCAGGCGCGACAGCGUGGGGAUCAAACAGG